ensembl:snRNA U6 U6 spliceosomal RNA
AUGCUCAGCUUUGGCAGCACAUAAACUAAAAUUAGAAUGAUGCAGAGAAGAUUAGCAUGGCCCCUGUGCAAGGAUGACACAAAUUCGUGAAGUGGUCCAUAUUUUU